CAGCAGCCGCGGUAAUACGUAGGUGGCAAGCGUUGUCCGGAAUUAUUGGGCGUAAAGGGCUCGCAGGCGGUUUCUUAAGUCUGAUGUGAAAGCCCCCAGCUCAACCGGGGAGGGUCAUUGGAAACUGGGAAACUUGAGUGCAGAAGAGGAGAGUGGAAUUCCACGUGUAGCGGUGAAAUGCGUAGAGAUGUGGAGGAACACCAGUGGCGAAGGCGACUCUCUGGUCAGUAACUGACGCUGAGGAGCGAAAGCGUGGGGAGCGAACAAGAUUAGAUACCCCGGUAGUCCCUGUCUCUUAUAC
rnacentral:rRNA from 1 species